ensembl:lncRNA
AGAGUCCAUCCAUUCGAUGUAGGCAGACACACGGGUGAAGACGGUGGGCUUCUUGGGGUAGUUGCAUCCCCAACCAGACACAAAGCUGGCAAUACCAUGGACGUAGUAUUUUCCAUUAACGAGGCAGUUCAGAGGGCCACCUGAGUCACCCUGAGAGGAAAUUAAAACAGUAUCUUCAGUAUCAAGAGGACAGAUGUAACAAAAACAUAAUCUAGAACUUAGGAGAUAAAGUUAUUAUGUGUAAAAAUUUUGCAUGUCCUUUAUUCUUUUUCCUCAUUUGACUCACAUUGCAUCCAGAGUCAGCGCCGCCACCACCACACACCAUGGUGUUCUUGACAGUGCUGCCCCACCAGUCACUUCUGGAGCAGUUGUUGUGGUCGACCAGAGGGAGGUAGGCCUGCUUCAGCUGGGCGGACAGGCUACCACCAGCUAGAAACAGCAAACAAUGUAAAGGGAAGAUUGAGCUUCAUUGAGGAAAGACUUUUGAGGAUGUGAGGGGAUGGUGCAAUGAACCCACUGGAUGUGAGUCCCCAUCCGGUGAUGUAGCAAAGGUUGUUGUGGGGCAGGAGCUGGCCGGAGGGAGGGAGGGAACCCAGCUGGAUGUAAGAGUUCAGAGUGGCCUCGGUGGACAGACGCAGCAGGGCAAUGUGCGUCCCCAUCCGGUGAUGUAGCAAAGGUUGUUGUGGGGCAGGAGCUGGCCGGAGGGAGGGAGGGAACCCAGCUGGACGUAAGAGUUCAGAGUGGCCUCGGUGGACAGACGCAGCAGGGCAAUGUCAUACCUGAGUUGGUGAGAAAGCUUACUGUAAAACACUGUUCACAGCAUCUCACACACUAAAUGUCUAAGAACAAGACAAACACUUGUUACCCAGCAGCAACACUGUUGGAGUUCCAUCUGGGGUGGAUGUGCACUUUGCUGACGGCAAUGAUCUGCUCUGUGCCUCCGUUUUUGUAGAGGUCAUGCUCCCCAAGGACAACACGGUAGGUCAUGGGUCUGUCCACACAGUGAGCAGCUGUCAUAACCCAGCCUCUCUUAAUCAGGGUUCCUCCGCAUGUGUGAUAAUAGUUGCUGCCAGAUCUGUACUGAAGAGAGAUCUGCCAGGGCCAAGAGUUGGGAGAGGCCACUUCACCUCCGACAACCCUCUCAAGGCUAUCCUCGAUGUACCUGGGCUGUGGUCCCAGGUCAGCCAGAACUUGUUAAAAAAGAAAGGAAAACAAAGCUGCAUGAGUUUUAUGUUCCUGCAUCUCCUGUGGUGUUACACAGCAGUGUGUACAGUGUGGUUUUCUUACCCAGGGCUGCAAGGCUUGUCAACACCAGAAACCUCAGCAUGUCUGCACAAUGUCAGAAUGUGUCUGCGAGGAAUCAGACCUUUCCCCCUGCUUUUAUACCUCUCUACAGUGGAAAAUUGAGGCUGUUGUGUCAAGCAUGGGAAACACACCUGUGAUCCGUCUCACAAUGUGUUAUCAGUUGGUCAGCACACACCUCCUACUUUCAAUGUUUAAAAAUGCUGCACAAGGAGCAAAACAAUUAUAACAUAUUUGAUAAAAUCUGUCACAGUUUUCCUUGCUUUGUAUUUGUGGAUGAAAACAUCUUCUUUUCUGGUAAUUUAGGUGGAUAUGUUGAAGAAAGCCUGGGUAAGAUGUACAGGUAGUUUCUUUUCAUACAAAUACUGUGAAUUUUUUCUUUGAGUAAACAUGUUUUUUUUUCCUUGCCAAAAUUCUCCACCUUUAAGUCUUGAGAGAUUUUUGCUUGUUGUGUCUCUCUAACAAAUGGAAAUAAAUACAUACCAAAGAAGUGGCUACCAAUUGAUACAACCAGUCCACUGGAGAUAAGGCACAGAUCCAGUUUAAACCAGUAGCAUGUGGACUGGUUGCUCUCGCAGAAGGACACGUGUGUGUGAUGUGUGUGUUAAGGAAUACAGUCAAUAAACCAGUCUAAAUCAACACAGUUUAAAGAAAAGGUGCACUGCCUGAAGUCUCAAGUUCAAUGAGGGUAAAUUAAUAGUGCCUUAAAAUGGAUCUUUUGAUUUCGUCGCUGUUUAUGAUGAUUGGUUUUAAUUAAA